rnacentral:pre_miRNA from 1 species
UGCCUCCCCGCAUCCCCUAGGGCAUUGGUGUGAAGCUGGAGACCCACUGCCCCAGGUGCUGCUGGGGGU